GGUUGUGGCUCAGUGGUAGAGUGCUUGCCUAGCGUGCAUAAGGCACUGGGUUCAAUUCUCAUCACCA
rnacentral:tRNA from 1 species